rnacentral:rRNA from 1 species
GUGCCAGCCGCCGCGGUAAUACGUAGGGGGCGAGCGUUGUCCGGAAUUAUUGGGCGUAAAGGGCGCGCAGGCGGUCUCAUAAGUCUGAUGUGACAUCUCGCGGCUCAACCGCGAGCGGUCAUUGGAAACUGGGAGACUUGAGUACAGAAGAGGAGAGUGGAAUUCCACGUGUAGCGGUGAAAUGCGUAGAGAUGUGGAGGAACACCAGUGGCGAAGGCGACUCUCUGGUCUGUUACUGACGCUGAGGCGCGAAAGCGUGGGUAGCGAACAGGAUUAGAUACCCCCGUAGUCC